CCAAGCCAAGAAGAAAAAGUGGCUUCCAAGAGAUUCCAUUUCCUGCCCUACUCUCUCUCCUCCAGCUUGAAGAUGCCAGUCUCAAAAAAUUCCCUCAACUCAUCCUCAGGUUGAAGAUUGAAAUCUUUUUCCUUUUUCUCCUCCAGUGAGGCAGAUGUGCUUAAAACAUAACACGAUCAGGAGACUAAAUGAAUACUCAUUUGAUUUUAAGAAAGGCACAUUCUUUAGGAAUAAAGUCCUGCAUGAAUGAGUGCUCAAAUAUCCAGACAGAGAGUACCACUUCGUUCACUGCACACCCAUUCAACAAACACUGAUUUUGCUGCAAGGCUCAGCGCUAGGAAUUGAAGCUUAUUCUUUUUUGAGGACUUUUAGGCGUUUUCGAUGGAAGGCAGACAAGAUUACUGCAGCAUUCUGGACUUGAAAGCAACCCGCUCACUUUUCUCUAAUCCAGUGCCCAGUGAAAACUAAUCAUCUUUAGGAAAACUAAAGUCUAAAUCAUACAACAUUUUCAUUGAAAUUCUGUGGAUUAUGCAGGCAGGAUAGAUUUGACAUUUCUUCCUAACAACAGAAGUAUUGCAACUACAUAUUAAGAUUCCUGCAGAAUGGAAAUCCUGUGGCAAGAAUUACUGGUAUUCAAACCAUGUUCUCUGAAGUUAACUGUCCUUGCUUAUCGAUUUGAAACAGCUGUAAAACCCGAGGGGCUCAAAUGAGUUUCCAAACAGCGCCGUGUAGAAAUGCCUACGAUCUAUCCUACACGAUGGGAGUUUGUUUUGCAUUCUUGGACUGAAACUUGUUGGGCCUCUGGGUUCUCCUUGGGCCUCAGUAAAGGCUAUGUAACUCCUGUGUGUACUUUUGAAAAUAUUCAGACACCAAAUGAAUGGUUAGCAAGGAAGAGAAAGUGAGCCAGCACAAGAUAUCGC
rnacentral:lncRNA from 1 species